rnacentral:piRNA from 1 species
UCCUAGACAAGGCAGGGCACUCUUGGGAGA